rnacentral:tRNA from 1 species
GCGGGUGUGGUGAAAUUGGCAGACACGUCAGACUUAGGAUCUGAUGCCGUGAGGCUUGGGGGUUCGAGUCCCUCCACCCGCA